rnacentral:rRNA from 1 species
UUUUGACCGUGCAAAGGUAGCGCAAUCACUUGUCUCUUAAAUAGAGACCUGUAUGAAUGGCUAGACGAGGGCUUAACUGUCUCCCCCCUCCGGUCAGUGAAAUUGAUCUAUCCGUGCAGAAGCGGGUGUGAAUACACAAGACGAGAAGACCCUUUGGAGCUUAAGGUACAAACUUAACCACGUUAAACGACUUCACAAAGAGCAAGAACUUAGUGGCAAUAAGACUUUACCUUCGGUUGGGGCGACCAUGGAGGAGAAACAAGCCUCCAAGUGGGCCGGGCCAAACCCCCUUCCCUAAAGCCAAGAGGUACACCUCUAAGCCUCAGAACAUCUGACCAAAAAUGAUCCGACUAUAAAGUCGACCAACGAACCAAGUUACCCAAGGGAUAACAGCGCAAUCCCCUCCCAGAAUUCCAUAUCUACGAAGGG